AUUGAACGCUGGCGGCAUGCCUUACACAUGCAAGUCGAACGGCAGCACGGGGCAACCUGGUGGCGAGUGGCGAACGGGUGAGUAAUGCAUCGGAACGUACCUUUCAGUGGGGGAUAACGUAGCGAAAGUUACGCUAAUACCGCAUAUUCUGUGAGCAGGAAAGCAGGGGAUCGCAAGACCUUGCGCUGAUUGAGCGGCCGAUGUCAGAUUAGCUAGUUGGUGAGGUAAAGGCUCACCAAGGCGACGAUCUGUAGCGGGUCUGAGGGGAUGAUCCGCCACACUGGAACUGAGACACGGUCCAGACUCCUACGGGAGGCAGCAGUGGGGAAUUUUGGGCAAUGGGGGCAACCCGGAUCCAGCCAUGCCGCGUGAGUGAAGAAGGCCUUCGGGUUGUAAAGCUCUUUCGGCCGGGAAGAAAUCGCACGGGCUAAUACCCUGUGUGGAUGACGGUACCGGAAUAAGAAGCACCGGCUAACUACGUGCCAGCCGCCGCGGUAACAC
rnacentral:rRNA from 1 species